UAGGGAAUCUUCGGCAAUGGGGGGAACCCUGACCGAGCAACGCCGCGUGAGUGAAGAAGGUUUUCGGAUCGUAAAGCUCUGUUGUUAAGGAAGAACGAGUGUGAGAAUGGAAAGUUCAUACUGUGACGGUACUUAACCAGAAAGGGACGGCUAACUACGUGCCAGCAGCCGCGGUAAUACGUAGGUCCCGAGCGUUGUCCGGAUUUAUUGGGCGUAAAGCGAGCGCAGGCGGUUAGAUAAGUCUGAAGUUAAAGGCAGUGGCUCAACCAUUGUAGGCUUUGGAAACUGUUUAACUUGAGUGCAGAAGGGGAGAGUGGAAUUCCAUGUGUAACGGUGAAAUGCGUAGAUAUAUGGAGGAACACCGGUGGCGAAAGCGGCUCUCGGGUCUGUAACUGACGCUGAGGCUCGAAAGCGUGGGGAGCGAACAGG
rnacentral:rRNA from 1 species